GCUUGAUCAGCAAUCAAUUUAAAUUGAAUGAGUCUACGUCUGUCUGUUGGGAUGGUUACCCUGCAAGAGGUGUGGGACAGGAGUGCACUCACCAUAGGGUAUUUUGCCUUCUGGAUAUGCUCACUAAGUCUCCCUCUGUGGACAAGCCCAGAAAACUGCAAAGAGCUGGUAACUACGGAUGAUCCUUCUCUAGACGGGAUUUCGAAGACUAAAGGGGAUGUCACUAGAGAUGGAGAAACCUUCAUUCAUGCACAGUUGCAGCUCAAGAGCAAGAUAUCACUCCUGUGGAUGUUGAAGGAAUGGAAGAACGCACAGUGUUCCCUUGUGACAAACCUUCAUCAAGUGCAUGUGCUCUUUCAGUUUGCCCAUUGAGGAGUGCUGAGGGUCAGGCUUUUCACCUGACCACAUAGUGUUUGAUGAUUUGUAGCACUGGGAGCUACAAGAGGCCCCAGAAAGGAGAUAAAUCCAUUAGAGCCAUCUUGGUUAGCAGAUUUUGCUGGGUAGCAGAAACAUCAGAAACAUCACAGCAAUUUGUUCCUGUCUGAAACCAGCAUCCUCUUCUUUUUUCACAGACCUCAGAGCCAGGCUGGUGAAACUCCCCAAAUGGUGACUCACAUGUUACUGAAUAACACAAUAAACACCCUGAAGGCUACUGCGCACAGAUUUAUUUGUCUUAAUGCAACUAUAAACGUGAAGAUGGAUUACCAACAUAAUAUAUCUAUGAAGGAAGUUUAGUAAUAAAUAAGGACUUCUGAUUUGAAACAACACUCUGCAGAGUAACUAGAGGGAGUUUCCUCCUGCUCUAGCAGCUAAGAAAUAGGUAUCUAAAUACAUAUAUAGAUAUAUAUACCAUACUAUGCGGAAAAAAAUUGAGAUCAUAUUGGACAAAUACAUAACCAGUGAGAGAAAAUCUAUAGUCAUGGCAUUAGCUCUGCAAUACCAGCUCAUCAUCAGCUUCAGGUUGUGAGCUGUGUCUUCAACUCAUCUUCAUGAUUGCUUUAAGAGUUCUCAUGGUCUUCCCAGAAAGAUGAGUCUUCGCACACCUGCAGCUGUCCACGUGCCCCAGGUGGACCAGCUGAUGUUGGCAAUGAUGAUGAGCUACAGACAGACUGGAAGCCAAGGAUCUGCUUUCUUAGACGAUGAAGGAGCCAGGCAGCAGCACUGCAGGAAUGCCAGUGCCUUGUCUGAUGUCUCACAGUAAGACACAAGAAAGAGAAUUCUGUGGAGGCUCCUUUUUCAGCUGAUCACCAGUGAGCAGACAGGUUAUUGCAGGCUUCAUCUUGCCAAGAUCCUCUGAGAAGAGAAUCUCAUUCCACCAAGAACUUUGCCAGGUAAAGUCUGUAGGGACAGAGGGACAGAAGCUCACUAUUCUGUGCCUGUUUGCCAAGGUGUUUACAGCCUUGCAGGGGCAUGCGAAAGAAGAGGUGCUCAUAGUGCAGAAGCUUACCUUUGUCUUCUACAUAUGAGACAUCCCACUGGAUGUAGCUCUGCUCCUCACACAUUUCAGAACCUGCUACGUGAAACAAAUCUCUUGUAUGUAAGCCUCAUGAAUACCUUGGAUGUACCUAUGCAAUCAAACAUGGUGCUUCAUAUUUUUGUAAGGCUGCAUACUGUAAACCUUACUUUUUUGUGCUUUUAUGUAGUUAUUGUCUUCUAGAUCAAGAAGCCAUCAUAGUUUGAGGAAAGUUUCUUGGAGUGAGAUUACAGCUGGCCUUGAAGGUUUAUUUAAGUGACUAUUCAUAAUUCUGUCAGAAUAAGAAAUCGGACUGAUCUUUCACACUUUGUGGAGAUUUCAUUUAGUUUAUCCUUGAGAAAGACUCUCCUGAUGGUAGAGGCUAUUCACAGAUGUUGGAACACUUUACUGUCUUUGUGAAUAAGGGUAAAAACAUUUGAGCUCUUCCCUGCUCUAGAGUAAGGCUCAUAAGCAGCUGUUGUUUUCUGUACAUUGGGUUUAUUUAAUAUGUACAGAGUAAAAACACAUCUAGCUCUCUGCCUCUGGUUUCUGUGUGGAAGUGUGGGAGCUAACCUGAACAUAAUGUAACUUGGUUUAUGAAGGACAGUCCCACAGAUCUGAUUCAAAUACCUCUCAGUUAUAUGAUCCUUACAGAGCAGCUGGUGGUCAUGCUUGUUUCUUUGAGUGACUUUAAGAGCUGAAAUAUGAAUAUUGCCCUACACAUACUGCAGUUAUUUCUUCAGAAUCAAUUGCCAUGUUCUCUUGUUAUUUCUGUGCUGCUUGAUAUUGUAAUCCAUGUUUUGUUCACCUGCCUUGUAUUCUUGGACCUACUUUCAUAUAUCUGUUGCAGUAAACCUGCUUUUCCAAACUUCCCUUAGAAAACUAGGAGAAUUUGUCCUUGUUCCCCAACGUAGGCUUUUGAGCUGGAAAGCAAGCCAGAAAAAAACUACACGUAGAACAAUAUGUUCUACUUUUGUCAAACAGAAUAGGAAAAGCUGCAGAGCUCUGGUGAUUUUGUUGGUGGGGAUAUUUUGUUUGUUUGUGUUGGGUUUGGUAUUUUUUGCUUAUUUUUAGGUGACUA